rnacentral:rRNA from 1 species
UACAGAGGUCUCAAGCGUUGUUCGGAUUCAUUGGGCGUAAAGGGUGCGUAGGUGGUGGGGUAAGUCGGAUGUGAGAUCCCGGGGCUCAACCCCGAAACUGCACUUGAUACUGCCUUGCUAGAGUACUGGAGAGGAGAUUGGAAUUUACGGUGUAGCAGUGAAAUGCGUAGAUAUCGUAAGGAAGACCAGUGGCGAAGGCGAAUCUCUGGACAGUUACUGACACUGAGGCACGAAGGCCAGGGGAGCAAACGGG